rnacentral:rRNA from 1 species
UAGUGGCGGACGGGUGAGUAACGCGUGGGAAUCUGCCCUCAGGAGGGGGAUAACGGUUGGAAACGACCGCUAAUACCCCAUAUGCCGAGAGGUGAAACGAAAUUCGCCUGGGGAUGAGCCCGCGUCUGAUUAGCUAGUUGGUGGGGUAAAGGCCUACCAAGGCAUCGAUCAGUAGCUGGUCUGAGAGGAUGAUCAGCCACACUGGGACUGAGACACGGCCCAGACUCCUACGGGAGGCAGCAGUGGGGAAUUUUCCGCAAUGGGCGCAAGCCUGACGGAGCAACGCCGCGUGAGGGAUGAAGGCCUCUGGGCUGUAAACCUCUUUUCUCAAGGAAGAAGAACUGACGGUACUUGAGGAAUAAGCCACGGCUAA